AACGAACGCUGGCGGCAUGCCUAACACAUGCAAGUCGAACGAGAUCUUCGGGUCUAGUGGCGCACGGGUGCGUAACGCAUGGGAAUCUGCCCUUUGGUUCGGAAUAACAGUUGGAAACGACUGCCAAUACCGGAUGAUGACGAAAGUCCAAAGAUUUAUCGCCAGAGGAUGAGCCCGCGUAGGAUUAGCUAGUUGGUGUGGUAAAGGCGCACCAAGGCGACGAUCCUUAGCUGGUCUGAGAGGAGGAUCAGCCACACUGGGACUGAGACACGGCCCAGACUCCUACGGGAGGCAGCAGUGGGGAAUAUUGGACAAUGGGCGAAAGCCUGAUCCAGCAAUGCCGCGUGAGUGAUGAAGGCCUUAGGGUUGUAAAGCUCUUUUACCCGGGAUGAUAAUGACAGUACCGGGAGAAUAAGCUCCGGCUAACUCCGUGCCAGCCGCCGCAGUAA
rnacentral:rRNA from 1 species